UUCGCGGAAGCCGCGCGGGCUGUGGGGUGUCCCCAUGCACCUGUUCCCGGCUUGGGCCUGGGCCCGCCGCUGGGCUGGAAAGAGCGGCUGAAGGCCGGGCUGGCGAACUCUGGGUCCACGCUGUGGUUCCUGGCGGGGCUGGGGCUGCUUUACGCUCUGAGGGUCCCGCUGAGGCUGUGUGACAACGUGACAGCGGUGACAGGAUUUUUAAGUUCACUGACACCCAAGUUUUAUGUGGCACUUACAGGGACAUCUUCUUUGAUAUCUGGACUAAUAUUUAAUGUAAGGUCUGGAGAAACCCUUUAAACCUCUUUAGAGGAGCAGAAUAUAGAAGAUAUACUUGGGUGACUGGGAAAGAGCCACUUACUUACUAUGACAUGAACUUGUCUGCCCAGGAUCACCAGACCUUUUUCACCUGUGAAACAGACUUUUUACGUCCUUCAGACACAGUUUGGAGUUUUGUAUAGAGAUGCUCAACCUGGCUCCAAGGUUAUGCAGAAGGCAUGGAGGGAAAGAAAUCCUCCAGCUCGAAUCAAAGCAGCCUACCAAGCUUUAGAGUUAAACAAUGAUGCUGGGAUCGAACCCAGGGCCUCAAGCAUGCUAGCUGUGCCACUGCCUACGUUCUACUGGCCGAAGAAGAAGCAACAACCAUUGUAGAUGCUGAAAGGUUAUUUAAACAGGCACUCAGGGCG
rnacentral:lncRNA from 1 species